UACGUAGGGUGCGAGCGUUGUCCGGAAUUAUUGGGCGUAAAGAGCUCGUAGGCGGCCUGUCGCGUCGGUUGUGAAAGCCCGGGGCUUAACCCCGGGUCUGCAGUCGAUACGGGCAGGCUAGAGUUCGGUAGGGGAGACUGGAAUUCCUGGUGUAGCGGUGAAAUGCGCAGAUAUCAGGAGGAACACCGGUGGCGAAGGCGGGUCUCUGGGCCGAAACUGACGCUGAGGAGCGAAAGCGUGGGGAGCGAACAGG
rnacentral:rRNA from 1 species